AUUGAACGCUGGCGGCAGGCUUAACACAUGCAAGUCGAGCGGAGAUGAGGUGCUUGCACCUUAUCUUAGCGGCGGACGGGUGAGUAAUGCUUAGGAAUCUGCCAUUUAGUGGGGGACAACAUUCCGAAAGGAAUGCUAAUACCGCAUACGUCCUACGGGAGAAAGCAGGGGAUCUUCGGACCUUGCGCUAAAUGAUGAGCCUAAGUCGGAUUAGCUAGUUGGUGGGGUAAAGGCCUACCAAGGCGACGAUCUGUAGCGGGUCUGAGAGGAUGAUCCGCCACACUGGGACUGAGACACGGCCCAGACUCCUACGGGAGGCAGCAGUGGGGAAUAUUGGACAAUGGGCGGAAGCCUGAUCCAGCCAUGCCGCGUGUGUGAAGAAGGCCUUUUGGUUGUAAAGCACUUUAAGCGAGGAGGAGGCUACUAGUACUAAUACUACUGGAUAGUGGACGUUACUCGCAGAAUAAGCACCGGCUAACUCUGUGCCAGCCGCCGCCGUAAGAU
rnacentral:rRNA from 1 species